rnacentral:rRNA from 1 species
GACGAACGCUGGCGGCGUGCUUAACACAUGCAAGUCGAACGGAAAGGCCCUGCUUUUGUGGGGUGCUCGAGUGGCGAACGGGUGAGUAACACGUGAGUAACCUGCCCUUGACUUUGGGAUAACUUCAGGCAACUGGGGCUAAUACCGGAUAGGAGCUCCUGCUGCAUGGUGGGGGUUGGAAAGUUUCGGCGGUUGGGGAUGGACUCGCGGCUUAUCAGCUUGUUGGUGGGGUAGUGGCUUACCAAGGCUUUGACGGGUAGCAUGGCUGGGGGGGUGACCGGCCCAGUUGGGAUGGGAGUGCGGCCCGGACUCCAACCGGAGGGAAGGCGGGGGUAGAGUGCAUAGUGGACGGGAGGCCAGUGCAAUAAAGCCGCGUGGGGGGAGAGAGGCAGGGGGUUGGGAAGCACUGUUCCCUUUGACGAAACGGUAAUGACAGUAAUGGGUAAAGAAGCACCGGCUAACUACGUG